UACAGAGGUCUCGAGCGUUAGGCGGAAUCACUGGGCUUAAAGCGUGUGUAGGCGGAUCGUUAAGUACCUUGUGAAAUCCCACGGCUUAACCGUGGAAUUGCUGGGUAUACUGGCGGUCUUGAGCCACUUAGGGGCUACCGGAACAAAUGGUGGAGCGGUGAAAUGCGUAGAUAUCAUUUGGAACGCCAAUGGUGAAAACAGGUAGCUGGGAGUGUGCUGACGCUGAGGAGCGAAAGCGUGGGUAGCAAACAGG
rnacentral:rRNA from 1 species